AUAAUACUCCCUCCGUCCGGAAAUACUUGUCCUAGAAAUGGAUGUAUCUAUAAGUAAAAUAAGUCUAGAUACAACCAUUCCCAGGACAAGUAUUUCCAGACGGAGGGAGUAAUAC
rfam:Triticum urartu cultivar G1812 contig233129, whole genome shotgun sequence.